AUUGAACGCUGGCGGCAUGCCUUACACAUGCAAGUCGAACGGUAACGGGCCUUCGGGUGCCGACGAGUGGCGAACGGGUGAGUAAUGCAUCGGAACGUACCUUUCAGUGGGGGACAACGUAGCGAAAGUUACGCUAAUACCGCAUAUUCUGUGAGCAGGAAAGCAGGGGAUCGCAAGACCUUGCGCUGAUUGAGCGGCCGAUGUCAGAUUAGCUAGUUGGUGAGGUAAAAGGCUCACCAAGGCGACGAUCUGUAGCGGGUCUGAGAGGAUGAUCCGCCACACUGGAACUGAGACACGGUCCAGACUCCUACGGGAGGCAGCAGUGGGGAAUUUUGGACAAUGGGGGCAACCCUGAUCCAGCCAUGCCGCGUGAGUGAAGAAGGCCUUC
rnacentral:rRNA from 1 species